rnacentral:rRNA from 1 species
AAUCAACGCUGGCGGCGUGCCUCAGACAUGCAAGUCGAACGAUUAAACUUUCCUUCGGGAAAGAUAUAAAGUGGCGCACGGGUGAGUAACACGUAGGUAAUGUACCUUUGGGUGGGGAAUAACUUAGGGAACUUAAGCUAAUACCGCAUAAUGCAGCGGCUCCUUCGGGAGACAGUUGUUAAAGAUUUAUCGCCUAAAGAGCAGCCUGCGGCAGAUUAGCUAGUUGGUAAGGUAACGGCUACCAAGGCUACGAUCUGUAUCCGACCUGAGAGGGUGGUCGGACACACUGACACUGAAUAACGGGUCAGACUCCUACGGGA